UGGACCAUUAGCUCAGCUGGUUAGAGCAAAAGGCUCAUGACCAUUCGGUCGAUGGUUCGAAUUCAUCAUGGUCGAUAAU
rnacentral:tRNA from 1 species